rnacentral:rRNA from 1 species
AACGAACGCUGGCGGCAUGCCUAACACAUGCAAGUCGAACGAGACCUUCGGGUCUAGUUGCGCACGGGUGCGUAACGCGUGGGAACCUGCCCUUAGGUUCGGAAUAACUCCCCGAAAGGGGUGCUAAUACCGGAUAAUGUCUUCGGACCAAAGAUUUAUCGCCUUUGGAUGGGCCCGCGUUGGAUUAGCUAGUUGGUAGGGUAAAAGCCUACCAAGGCGACGAUCCAUAGCUGGUCUGAGAGGAUGAUCAGCCACACUGGGACUGAGACACGGCCCAGAAUCCUACGGGAGGCAGCAGUGGGGAAUAUUGGAAAAUGGGCGAAAGGCUGAUGCAGCAAGGCCGGGUGAGUGAUGAAGGCCUUAGGGUUGUAAAGCUCGUUUACCCGGGAUGAUAAUGACAGUACCGGGAGAAUAAGCUCCGGCUAACUCCGUG